GGCUCAGAUUGAACGCUGGCGGCAUGCCUUACACAUGCAAGUCGAACGGCAGCACGGACUUCGGGUCUGGUGGCGAGUGGCGAACGGGUGAGUAAUGCAUCGGAACGUGCCAUUGAGUGGGGGAUAACGUAGCGAAAGUUGCGCUAAUACCGCAUAUUCUGUGAGCAGGAAAGCAGGGGACCGCAAGGCCUUGCGCUCUUUGAGCGGCCGAUGUCAGAUUAGCUAGUUGGUGAGGUAAAGGCUUACCAAGGCGACGAUCUGUAGCGGGUCUGAGAGGAUGAUCCACCACACUGGAACUGAGACACGGUCCAGACUCCUACGGGAGGCAGCAGUGGGGAAUUUUGGACAAUGGGGGCAACCCUGAUCCAGCCAUGCCGCGUGAGUGAAGAAGGCCUUCGGGUUGUAAAGCUCUUUCGGCCGGGAAGAAAUCGCAUGGGCCAAUACCCUGUGUGGAUGACGGUACCGGAAUAAGAAGCACCGGCUAACUACGUG
rnacentral:rRNA from 1 species